UUCUCCCUGCUGGAUUAUGUCCCCACAAAAGAUAUGUCAAAAUCACAAACCCCAACACUUCAACAAAAAGUGAUCAGAUGUGGAAACUGGGUACUUGGAGAUGUCAUUAGUUAACCCAAGGUCACAGAGUAAGAUGGGCCAUUCUCUUGUUGAUGUCCUUGCAAGAAAAGAAAAGCACCCGCAGAAACAAGGUCAUCAUGUGACAGUGAAGGCAGAGAUCAGGGGAUAGAGUUAUUAGCCUGAGGCUGUCAAGGACCUCAGCAAACACCAGAAAAGUAAAAGAGGCAAGAAGGAUUCUUCCUGGCAGGCUCCUGAAGAAGCACAGUCCUGCCCAUACUGUGACUCUGGACUCCACAGAACCAUGAGAAUAAAUUGACCUCGUUCUAACCCACCCACUUUUGCGGUACAUUGCUACAGCAUCCUCAGGAAACUAACACAUUCCUCUCUUCCCAUUAUUUCUGUAUUUUAGGGCCCAGAUAACUGGAUUGUAAACUAGGCUAAAAUUUCACACACACACACACACAGCUACAUGUAUGAAUCUGUUCCUGUGUGUACAGAACACUGUUCUCUUCUACUACAGAUUACAAGACUCUGAAACAGUACCUCCAGGGGUUACUGAGUAGCUCACGUCUAUCUUAAGUCUUAUGUAUCUUACGACUGUCCGGCUGUCAUUCAGCCUGUGCUUAGAGCAUCUCUUAUCUCCUGACAUGCCCCCUUCAACUUCCGGGUGACUUGGACUUUUAACAAAAUUCUUUCUCAUAGUGACUAGGACCAAAUCCAUCUUCCUAUAACUUUUAAAAGUUGGUCCCAAUCCUAUUACCUCCUUUUCCAGCAAAAUUCCUCCUUUGCCAGUAAGCCUUACAAUAUUUGAAUGCAAUAUUACAAUCCAAUGAUUCUUCCCUUCCUGCAUUACAUAUCCACUUUCUUUUCAACCACUCUUCAUAAGAAGGUUUCAAUUUCCCUUGUCCUUUGCUGACUUCCCUUUAAAUAGGCUCCUCUAUCAUCUCUGCUCCCCAACACCCUUCUAUCCUAUCUACCCUGUUCCUCAGUGCUACACUGCCCACUGCUUAGACUUCUCUCCUCACCACUCCUCAGAUGGAAAAGAGAAAGGUCCACGUGCUUUGUCCCUCCUUAGCUGUUCUCUCAGGACCCAGGGCAUGGGAAUUUGAGAAUAAGUAAGAACUUUUGUACAGAACCCAAGUUGCUGUCGUAAGUCAAGACCCUGCUAAUUCUCCAGGUGUGUCAUUACAGGGCCAUCAAAGAGCAGUAAACCCAAAACAGUGGAUGCUGCCUGAAGGAAGAUCCUGCUGCGCUGGAACCCUUCCCUUCCCCUUUGACAAGGAUUUCAUCUGGGCCAAUGAAGGCAGGGUCCUGGGCUUGCUCUCGUUUUUUUUUUUCAUGAUAGUUUUGUGUCCAUCACCCACUACAUUUCUUCCAACACCAGGCCUCUCUACUGUCUCCCUUUUCUUGUCCUCAGUAGAAGAGUGCAGGGCAACAUAAAGUCUCACUUAGGACUCUAUAAACACAUCUGUGCCUUCAGAGGUAAAACAGAGCUUACAGACAAUAUCCUGUAAAAAGAUCAAUCGCAGGAUACCAAGCAGGAUUGUGCUAUAAUAAAGCCAUGGAAUUUGGGGUCCACAGUCCUUCAAGAUUCUGCUACUUAGUGUGUGGCCUUGGUCUAGUCACUUAAUUUCUGAGGUUCAAGUUUUCAUCUACUAAAAGCUCUUCAUUCAACAAUCAAGCAUCUACCUGGCACAAUACACUGAAGAAUCCAUUCAAGGAUUCCAAUUUCUCAGCAUUUUAGGUUUGUGAACAGAUUAGUAACUAACUGACACAGAUGAAAGAAUAACAGAAAUGCCAAGUGUUUGGGAUUACAAAUAAAUAACAGCAUCUCAGCAGGUGCAUCUUUUGCUGCCCUCGUCUGCGAAUAUCACACUCCAGUGUCCGCAGCCUUCCCACGCAGACUCACAGCAGCAACUCCCCCUGAGCUGCAGUGCCAAGCCUUCCAACUUCAGACCGGCACUGCUCCUUGAUCCCUCCUGCUCCAUGCCUUCCAGUUCUGCAAUUGAGAAGCUGCUGGACCUCCUGCAUCACCAAAGGCACUGUGAACAAGUCCACCUCUAAUCCACACACACCUACCUAAUAAGUCCCCUUGCCUAAUUAUAGAUUGCAAUUUUACAUUGACUCUGGUCCUCUAGAGAACCCUGAGCAUUUUUUGUUUGGGUGUGGUACUAGGGACUGACCCCAGAGCCUCUGCAGUGACCUACAUCCCCCAGCCUUUUAUUUAUUUUUUUGUUUUUUUGUUUUGUUUUUGUACCAGAAGCAAACUC